GAUGAACGCUGGCGGCGUGCCUAAUACAUGCAAGUCGAGCGAACAGACGAGGAGCUUGCUCCUCUGACGUUAGCGGCGGACGGGUGAGUAACACGUGGAUAACCUACCUAUAAGACUGGGAUAACUUCGGGAAACCGGAGCUAAUACCGGAGAAUAUAUUGAACCGCAUGGUUCAAUAGUGAAAGACGGUUUUGCUGUCACUUAUAGAUGGAUCCGCGCCGCAUUAGCUGGUUGGUAAGGUAACGGCUUACCAAGGCGACGAUGCGUAGCCGACGUGUGAGGGUGGUCGGCCACCCUGGAACUGAGACACGGUCCAGACUCCUACGGGAGGCAGCAGUAGGGAACCUUCCGCAAUGGGCGAAAGCUUGACGGAGCAACGCCGCGUGAGUGAUGAAGGUCUUCGGAUCGUAAAACUCUGUUAUUAGGGAAGAACAAAUGUGUAAGUAACUAUGCACGUCUUGACGGUACCUAAUCAGAAAGCCACGGCUAACUACGUG
rnacentral:rRNA from 1 species